UAAUCUUUCUAAGUGUUAAGGCAAACCUAACAGGUUUUCGAAACCUGUUAGGUUUAGAGGGAACAUGGGAAGCUGU
rnacentral:misc_RNA from 1 species